rnacentral:rRNA from 1 species
GUGAGGAAUAUUGGUCAAUGGGCGAGAGCCUGAACCAGCCAAGUCGCGUGAAGGAAGAAGGAUCUAUGGUUCGUAAACUUCUUUUGCAGGGGAUUAAAGUGCAGGACGUGUCCUGUUUUGUUUGUACCCUGAGAAUAAGGAUCGGCUAACUCCGUGCCAGCAGCCGCGGUAAUACGGAGGAUCCGAGCGUUAUCCGGAUUUAUUGGGUUUAAAGGGUGCGUAGGUGGUUUGAUAAGUCAGCGGUGAAAGUUUGCAGCUUAACUGUCAAAAUGCCGUUGGAACUGUCGGACUUGAGUGUAAAUGAGGUAGGCGGAAUGCGUGGUGUAGCGGUGAAAUGCAUAGAUAUCACGCAGAACUCCGAUUGCGAAGGCAGCUUACUAAGCUACAACUGACACUGAAGCACGAAAGCGUGGGGAUCAAACAGGAUUAGAAACACCAGUAGUCC